rnacentral:lncRNA from 12 species
AUGCAGGAGGACGUCGGAUCUGUGCCCGGGGGUCAAGCUGGAGAGGUUUGUCCACACAGAGCCAGAACCCCGAAGGGCCUGGUGAGCCAGGAGCGAGAGCAGUCUCUGAAGGAGAGGCAGGUGGCGAGGCGGCGCAGAGCCUUUCUGGCACAUUCUUCCUGCAAGGCUUCAUCCAAAUGGGAGCCUGGAAGUGACUUCACUUCCUCCUCUUCCUCUGCGACGGCCACUGCGGCUCAGGCUGACCCAGGCUGGCCACUGUCGCGGGGAGUGGGGAGGCUGGGCCAUCUCCUUCUCCAUGUACGGAACCCGACACUUGCCACUUCAACCUUGGGCUCGGCUGCCGAGAAAGGGUCCCCCCGGACUCUACCCAUGAGGUCGGUCCUUGCCUCACUGUGUGUCUCGGCCUCUCCCACGGAUGAAAUAUGAAUCAUUCGCUACCUCUGACCAGGCAACAAGCACGCUCACAGGAAAGCUCAUUGUGAGCCAGCAAGAGGCAUCUAAAUGUCACAGAUGAGGCUCGUGAUGGGGACUCGAAAGGUGGCCAGCAAGCCUUCCCUGGAGACCAAAGCCAUCCUCGCCGCAGUCCCUGCCUGCCCCACCGCGGGAGGCUGCCAGGGCUCCUGUUCACCCGAGACGCCUCGCCACCUGCUGGGACGCGCAGCACGGAGGGAGCAGACCACAGGCUCCGCUGCUAGAGUUGCCCCCGCUCACGGGGCACCGGGAGCCCAUGCGUCUCCCUGAGCUGAAACGUAUGGACUUCAGCAGGACCGAGGCCGGGCUUCCUCCCUGCGUUUUUGGGGGGCCUCGUGAAGCACACGCCUGGGAUUUCUCUCUGCUCCCUGGGUGCUCAUCCUGUGUGGGAGCAAGGUGAAGUCUUGGUGUUGAACGUGGUUCUAGAUCCGGGUUUGAAUCCGGGUAAGCCUCCAAUACUUACCCUGCUCCCCUCUCAAGCAGGUGGUUGGUCACCUUACAAGGAUUUUGUCCCAGCUGGGCCUUCAGUGGAUGGUGCCCGGCUCUUUGUCUCUUACCAGAUUUGGAGCUGGGGUAUGCAGGGAGCGGGGAGGUGUUGGAAAAUGAGGGAAGAUCCUGAUUAUAACAGAGGCAGAACUCCUAAGACCAGCGACUCUGGGAUCUCUCACUGUUGGUUUGUAUUCAUGACGCUCUCUGAGGAGGAACGCCCCAGAGAAAACACCCCCUCUUCCCCAAAGCAGAAUGCCAUUCACAGGGGAGUUUGGGAUGGGGACUACAUGGGAUGGUCUCCAACUGACGAUGUUCUAACUGAUGAUUUUUUGACUUCAUGAUGUUUGCAUUUCGGUAUAAACUACUGGAAUUUUGAAUCUGGAUCUUGUCCCAGGCUAGCAACAUGCUGUCUGGUCCUCUCUUGUGAUGCUGGCCAGUGGCCCCGGGGCCUUAGCACCUGUCAGUCAGGCGAUCAUGAGGGAAAACAGGUGACACAGUGACAGCCAUUUAUACCCGAGAACCACACUGGUGUUCACUUUCAGUACAGCACUCAGUAAGCCACACGAGCUGUUCAAGAUGUCAUAAGAUGGGCUUCGAGUGAGAUGGCUUUGCCCGACCGUGGGCUGAUGCCUGACCAUGGGCUGAUGUACAUGCUCCGAGCAUGUCAGAGGGUGGCUCAGCCAACCUAGUAUGUUAGGUUAGGUGUCUGAAACGCAUUUGCGACUUACCAGUAUUUUCAGCUUAUGGCAGGUUUAUCGGGAUGAAACCCCAUCCUAAGCUGAGAUGAGGAUCUACAUGUGAAAAUGCAAGCAGAACGAGUCAAAAAUAUAUCAGAUGCAACUACGGUAAAGCUUAGAAGGAUACUCAUAGCUUUAAAUGCUUAUCUUAGAAAAAAAGAAAAAAAAAUGAAAUCAAUAACCUAAGUGUUCACAAAGAGAAUCUUGGAAAAUAAGAGCAAACUAAAUCCGAGGCAAGCGGAAGAAAUUAAAUCAUAAAUACUGGCGUGAAAGUCAGUGACACUGAAACAGGAAAACAAGAGAAAAUCAAUUAAAUCAAAAGCCAUUUGUCUGAAAACCAGCAAAAUUGGCAAACCUCAAGCUAGAUUAAACAGAGUAAGUGAGGAAAGACACAGAUCACCGAAACCAUGAACGAAGGAGAGGAAAUCGCCACUGACGGCUCAGAAAUAAAAAAGACUACAAGGGAAGACUGCA